rnacentral:lncRNA from 14 species
CAGAACACUUGGGAGUUGACAGAUUAAAGACUUGCUGAGUCAGCAGUCGUCUGCCAACAAGCAGAUGCUGCACGGAUGGGCGCUGUUUCAGUGUGCAGAUUAGAUAUGUUGGAUAGACUACACCCUUCCCACUUUUUUAUGGGUCUGUAGGAAGCCUGACCAGUCAGCUGGUUUCACUUAUACCAUACUUGGAGGAAAUUUCACUGGGAUCCCAGAAUGGUCUUUUUUCUGUACUCAAAGAAAUAGUUCACAAGUAUUUCAGUGUAAAAUUCUUCUCCCCUCAUCUCUCUUGCAGGUAGGCAGUCUAAAUGCAGAUCCAAGGAGACACAAGGUCUCAGUUAGACGUACCUCAACGAAAGCAGUUAUUCAAGGUGGAUUAAGCAAGCUACAGAACUUCCUGCACUCUGGAUGUCCUGGUUUUGGCUGGGAUGGAGGACACUGGACAAGGCUAGUUACAACCUUGCUC